rnacentral:rRNA from 1 species
UACGAGGGGGGCGAGCGUUGUUCGGAAUUAUUGGGCGUAAAGGGUACGUAGGCGGUUUGGUAAGUCUCUUGUGAAAUCUAUGGGCUCAACUCAUAGUCUGCAAGGGAAACUGCCGGGCUUGAGUGUGGGAGAGGUGAGUGGAAUUUCCGGUGUAGCGGUGAAAUGCGUAGAUAUCGGAAGGAACACCUGUGGCGAAAGCGGCUCACUGGACCACAACUGACGCUGAUGCACGAAAGCUAGGGGAGCAAACAGG